rnacentral:rRNA from 1 species
GACGAACCGUGCGAACGUUAUUCGGAAUCACUGGGCUUAAAGCGCGUGUAGGCGGCCCGGCACGUCCGUCGCUGAAAUCCCCCGGCUCAACCGUGGAACGGCCUGGGAUACUGGCGGCCUCGAGGGAGGUAGGGGCAUGCGGAACUAUGGGUGGAGCGGUGAAAUGCGUUGAUAUCCAUAGGAACUCCGGUGGCGAAGGCGGCGUGCUGGACCUCUUCUGACGCUGAUGCGCGAAAGCCAGGGGAGCGAACGGG